GGCGUAGCAAGACUUAUGUAAGAUGAGGUGCUUAAGUCUUUUCCGUUGUUUGAACCCACGAGUCUUCUCACCAAAAAAAAAAACAGAGUAAUUCCGAAGUGCUUGAAUGAUCACCAGGAGUUGAAUCUGAAGACCGAGUAAGUGUUUCCUAGAUACGUCUGCUUCAACCAGCUUUUAACUAUUAAAGAGAAUUUGAUUUUACAUUUGUGCUUCAUCACAUAUACUGUUAACAUUCAACACUUUUGGAUCAGCCUUUCUAGUUUAGCAUCUCCUUCAAGCUCAUAUCAAAACUGGGAUCCGCCGUUAUGAAGGCCGGCUUUUAUUGUUGAAACAGAACACUCUCCCAGCUUGGAUAUUAUAUGCGAAACCUGAUGGUUUGGGAGGUGGGGUGUCAAACAUCCUUUUCGAGUUUAAACCGAAAUUUAGUAUAUCAAUAUGCAUUAUUUUUACUUGGAUUUUAUGUAUAUUCUGACAAUUGGUCCCUCGAUAUUUGUUCUUUUAUCAUAUGCUUUUUCAGCAUUUCAUUUCCUCUGGAUUGUGUGUUCUUUUUCAAAACAAGUGGGAUUUGGAAGUCAUGUCAUCACCCAUCCCCUCCCCUCAAAGAGAAUUUUUAGCUGAGUGAAUGAAAUGAUUCCAACGUUAUUCACCGCUCUGGUCAAUUUUGGACUUAAGCGACUCUUCAUGCUCAUCUCAGCCUCUUGGCCCGCCUUUUCCUGAAUCUAGGAUCGAGCUUCUUCCCCCAUCUGGGGUUGAUGCCCGCGGUGGAUGACAUAGCAGUGGUUUAGCAUGCCCUUAUUUCAG
rnacentral:sRNA from 1 species